rfam:Pristionchus pacificus strain PS312 contig9488, whole genome shotgun sequence.
UCUCUGGUAGUAUAGUGGUUAGUAUCCGCGCCUGUCACGUGCGAGACCCGGGUUCAAUUCCCGGCCAGAGAG